AAUUAGACCUGAAAAAGUUAGAAGUCUGCGUUGCUGUGGCCAGUGGUCUGACAAUUCCAGGUAUCAGCAAGGCCGCGAGGCACUUCCAGUCGUGACAGAGGUGACAUUUCAUCUGCGACCAGAAAACAUUAGAAGGAGCCUGCGAUGUGAGAAGCUGAGGGGACAGCUUCCAGCAAUGGCAUGUGAGAGGCCUUGAGCCGGGAAAGAAUUUGGAGAAACCGAGAGGCGGGCAGUGUGACUGAGGUUCAGCCACUCGAGGAAGAGGGAGAAUUCCUGUGCUUCAGGAAUGUGGAGUACCAGGUGACAAGCAGAGCAGUUCUCACCCCUGGCUGCCCCUGAGAAGACCUGCAGAGCCUUCAAAAUGCCGAUGUCUGGGCCCCACUGCACAAGGACUGAUCAGAAUCUCUGGCUUGAAAAAUCUCUCCAUUUGUUCUCAUUCCAUGCAGACCUGUGAGCGGUUGAUGAAGACUCUCACAGGCUGGAGUCUGGUAACAAUGGCCUGUAAAGCAGGGGUUGUUCUUCCCUAAAGCUGUGGACCCCCGAGCAGCUCACUCAGUGCCCCCAGGCCAAGCCCACUGACCACUGCAUUCAAACAAGGCCCUGGGGGCGAAGCACUGUGCCAUCCUGACUGUGGCCCUGACACAAUUUAGGAUCCAAUGCAGUCACAGACACGAUCAGCAAAAAGUCCUGAGCAAAGAUAUAACUAUUGCGAUAGUAAACUUCUCCCCACGUUCUAUAAAAUGCAUAUUGACUAGGCAAGAGUCCCAAAUGUACUAUGAAGUAUACAUAUGGCCUAUUAAAAUUAACAUGUACCAUAUCUUGACUUUGACUCACUUGAAUCUAAAAUACUACGUUGAAAACAAAAUAAUAAUAAAUAAUAAAAUAAAAUGCUACGUCGAGCUGGUGUGUAUUAACUAAAUAGUAGAACUGUACAGUGGAGGACAUACCCAGCCAGGAGGC